CAGAAAGAGACCUCACACCAAAGCUAAUCAACCAGCACUGUUCGUGAGAUUCAACUUGCUGCUGUGGUCAGAGGGGGCUGAAAGGACCAAAUAAAACAAUAGCAACAACAACACACGGAAUCUCAGGCACUCUGCUACCCUCCUUUUGCAGGAGUGACGGGAGUGUGUAUUGGCUGACCUAUCUAAAUAAAGCCUGACUAUAUGAAUCAAAAUGGAAAAGAUUCCACUUUUAGUAUAUCUAAAAGAAACAACUGGAUGGACAGCUACACAGAAAGAUAAGCUAAUUAAGCAACAUUUAUUGAAGAUUGGAAUAAAGUUGGAGCAACUGGGGCAAAUUUCCACAAAAAUCUCUAACUACAUCUUCCACAAUGUUUCCUAAUCUGAACGUGU
rnacentral:lncRNA from 1 species